rnacentral:lncRNA from 1 species
CCUGACUCCUGCGCCAGAGUGGGGCUUGGACCGCGGGUGAGGGAGAAGGCAGGUGGGCUCCGGGGCAGGGGGGCUGGUGGACAAGCCUCGGCCUCCAGCCUUGGGGCCUGCGCUGCCCCAGGUCUGCUCCCCCCUCCCCUGCCUCCCCACCCCCGACCCACGUGCCCACCGUGGUGGAUCUUAACAAUGUCUCCCUAUAGUGCAAGCCCACCUCCCGCUGGCUCUGUGCACUCAGGCUCCUCCCGGCCCUGUCACUAAAUCCUGACUUGCCUACACUGGGACUGCAAGACAUGCCUCACCUCCAGGCGGGACCUGCAGCUCUGCCACAGUGACAGCUCAGGGCAGAUAAGAUCAGCCCCUCAGAGUUCCCAUCGUGGCGCAGCGGAGACAAAUCCGACUAGGAACCAUGAGGUGGCGGGUUCGAUCCCUGGCCUCGCUCACCACAACUCGGGAUCCAAGCUGCGUCUCUGACCUUCACCACAGCUCACUCAACACCGGACACUUAACCCACUGAGAGACACCAGGGAUCGAACCCACAUCCUCAUGGAUACUAGUCAGCGGAGCUGAGUAAAUGUCACCUGUCUGACCGGUUACAACAUCACCUCGGGAAUCCUUUCGCCAACAGACAAGGACCCCCAUUCAACCGACUGGCUCCAAGCUGAGCCUUGGAGAGGUGGCUGGGGACAGGAGGAAAAGACAGAGCCCCCCACGCAUUGCCAGGAUUUCUCUUUCCGUAUCCCAGCCUCCCUGCUCCCUGGGGCACACAGGUGGAUGGCGGAGGCAGCCAGUGAAGGCACCAACCGAGGGGCAGAACCUCCACAUGCCAUGGGCGCAGGCCAAAAGGAGAGAGUGAUGGAGGGAGGAAGAAACGCUGGGAGACACAACCUCCAAGUCUCAAGUGGAAACGGGGAGAGAGGCGUCAUGGGAGGGAGCAGCUCUCGAAGUCCCAGCUGGCCCCCCCUAGCUUCGCAAGGACAGCGCUACCUCUCCUCAUCUCUAAGACACCAUCCACCACCGUACGGCGCACUUUUCCGUAUCACUCAGAAAGAGAAACCGCUGGCGAUUAAAUUUGCCGACACCAUAUCGUGAGCCUUUUCGGGCACACAGAGUUUGGGGAACUAUAUGAUGGACAGGCACAAGCGCGCCACCCAGCCUCUGCCGCUGACAUGUGGUUCUGUCGCACAUCUGUGCCUCGAGCCAUCCAUCAUUCCACCUUUUUUAAAAAAAAUUAUUAAAUAGUUGAUUG